ACGCAGCCCGGCUUGAGCGGAAAUCCUUUUUGUGAAUUGGCAAAAGCUUUGGCCAAAAAGAUUGGGAGCGGAAGACGGAGAUUGC
rnacentral:sRNA from 1 species